AUAGCAAUUGCUGGGUUGAAUGAUUAACUUCCUGAGGAACUAUCAAACUGUUUUCCAAAGCAGCUAUACCAUUUUACAUUCCCUCCAGCAAU
rnacentral:pre_miRNA from 1 species